UGGACUUCUUUAAGUUGCUUUAAGGCGUUUCACCUCUCAUCCGAGAAGCUUCUUUAGUUCUCAGGUCAAAUGUUUUGUCUGUCCCUCAUGCUUUGGCAUUAAAACAAUAAGCUGAGGAAGCCAUGAAGUAAUUAUUUUGAUAACUGUCAAAGGAGCUUGCAAAGAAAAGCGUCUGGACUUCUUUAAGUUGCUUGAAGACGUUUCACCUCUCAUCCGAGAAGCUUCUUCAGUUCUAAGGUCAAAUGGUGGAGAGUCCCAGAUUUAAACCUAGUGGAAGAAGCUUCUCGGAUGAGAGGUGAAACGUCUUCAAGUAACUUAAAGAAGUCGAGACGCUUUUCUUUGCAAGCUCCUUAGACUACGAUGACCUGGAUGACUGAGAACCUUCAUAGACAUAUUCUGAUAACUGUUUAGGACAAAUCCAUCCAACCAACCAAUCAUCUUCUACCACUUACUGCUUCUUCCACCCUUUCAGGUAGGUGGACACUGACGCGUUCCCAAAGCUGCUGUUUUCUCCAGCAAAAAAUAUCUAAACAAAUACAUAAAAGUCUGUUAUCACUUUCCUGAAUGGGAUUUUUUUGCUUUUCCUAUUAUUUCUCAUGAUGAACUAAACUGCUGCAACUGUGCACAUAAAAACUAAAAUCCAUAACCAACUUAAAUCCAGCUGAUCUCUGGAUUUGUCCACGAGGACUUCUCGACUGCUUCCAGCAAGGCUGAUAUUUUCAGAUCACUCUCUGGAAAUCCAAUGAUGACCCGAGCACCUGUUGAUUUUGGGUUUUGCUCUUGAGUUUGGCGUCCAUGUUGAAGUUACAAAGCUCCCACGCCCGUGGUUACAAGAGAGCUUCCAGGGAGCGAUCUAAAGCUAGCCGAAGGGAUGUAAGCGGUCCAGAGGUGCAUUUAAAUCAGCCAUUAUUUGUGGUUUUCAUUUGUUGAUGUCACUGUGAAGUCCUCGGAGACAAAUAAACUACUUUAAUGAAGAAAAUAUUCUAGAUGAGUUAAAGCGAAACCACAAUUAUGGCCGCCACAAUUGCAGUCUCUCCCCUAAAACAGCCGCCAGACUCGAACCUCCCUCCUGUCACCCCAACCAAUCAAAUUCCACCGUAUUAAACCUGCUUGGUUUUAUAAGCGUCAGUGGAAACAGGAGGGAGGCAAGGAAUCUGCACAGCUGGGUGGAAAUAUACUGCAGGCUCCUCUCUGACUAAGAGUCCCUAAACCAGAAAACAUGCCGGCCGAUGACCAUGUGGGAUUCAGGAGGUGGAGAUAAUCGAUGUGUCUCAUUCAGCGAUGCUUCAGACGUGCUCUCACAUAUGUCUGAUCUUUUCAUGGAUAAAAACAUCAUUUCGUGUUUACUGACUUCAAUCAGAGGCUGUGGAAUUUCAGUCAGGAACUAAACCUGGAAAACCAGACUGUCGCUGAGAAAAAAUGUUUCCCGCUCAAAUCAUGUGACACAAAGACUGCAGCUGUGUCUGCAAAGUAUCAUUGGAAGAAACGUAAAGGUCAGAGGUCACAGAGACACUAAGCCUGCAGUAGGCCUACUGCUUCGAUAUAUCUGUGAAUCAAAGAGCUGCUCACAGGAUUUAUUCAGAUGAUUUUUCACCCUGACACAGUCUAAAGAUUUUAAUUAGAGGUGCAACCUGUAGAAAUAGCACUAAAAACUAAAUAAUGGCAGCCAG
ensembl:lncRNA